GUUGCUGGCUUUUUCAGGAGCUGCUCGCUCGCAGCCAGACGCUGCUUUUUUUUUUCCGGGUUCGGAGCCGUUCCGGAUGCUUUAGGCUGCCGGAUGUCUGAUCUCCGGAUAACUGAGGCGUUUCUGUACAUGGAUUAUCUGUGUUUUAGAGCACUUUGCUGCAAGGGACCACCACCUGCACGACCAGAAUAUGACCUGGUUUGCAUAGGCCUCACAGGCUCUGGCAAAACCAGUCUGUUGUCCAAACUCUGCAGUGAAAGCCCCGAUAACGUCGUGUCGACCACAGGUUUUAGUAUUAAAGCAGUGCCAUUCCAGAAUGCCAUCUUGAAUGUAAAAGAACUUGGAGGUAUAACAUUUCAAAUCAUUUCUAUGUCUGCCCUUAACUUUUAUUAAUUUGGUAAUAAUGUAUUAUAUGUAAUUCAAACAUAGUGAUAACUUAUUUUAGUAGGUGAUUUAUUUUUAUCUUGAUAAUAUAUUUCCUAGAAAUAUUUCCUUCCCUUCGUAUAUGUUUUAAAAAUUGUUGAAGAGUUCUAAGUA
rnacentral:sRNA from 1 species